UCCCUGGUGGUCCAGUGGUUAGGUUACGGUGCUCUCACAGCCGCGGCCUGAGUUCGAUUCCAGGUCAGGGAA
rnacentral:tRNA from 1 species